rnacentral:rRNA from 1 species
GCUCGUGUCGUGAGAUGUUGGGUUAAGUCCCGCAACGAGCGCAACCCUUGUCCUUAGUUGCCAGCAGGUGAAGCUGGGCACUCUAAGGAGACCGCCGGUGAUAAAUCGGAGGAAGGUGGGGAUGACGUCAAGUCCUCAUGGCCUUUAUUGACCAGGGCUACACACGUGCUACAAUGGCCGAUAUAAAGGGUUACAAUACCGCGAGGUGGAGUCAAUCCCAAAAAGUCGGUCCCAGUUCGGAUUGCAGUCUGAAACUCGACUGCAUGAAGUCGGAAUCGCUAGUAAUCGCGGAUCAGCAUGCCGCGGUGAAUAUGUUCCCAGGCCUUGUACACACCGCCCGUCAAGUGAUGGAAGCCGGGAGUACCCGAAGUCGUUACUCUAACCCUCGGGAGGAGUGCGCCGAAGGUAAAACUGGUGACUGGCACUAAGUCGUAACAAGGUAGCCGUACCGGAAGGUGCGGCUGGAUCACCUCCUUU